rnacentral:rRNA from 1 species
UACGGAGGGUGCAAACGUUGCUCGGAAUCAUUGGGCGUAAAGCGCACGUAGGCGGACCGCUAAGUCGGAUGUAAAAGCCCUCGGCUUAACCGAGGAAGUGCAUUCGAAACUGACGGUCUUGAGUAUGGAAGAGGGUCGCGGAAUUCCCGGUGUAGAGGUGAAAUUCGUAGAUAUCGGGAGGAACACCAGUGGCGAAGGCGGCGACCUGGGCCAAUACUGACGCUGAGGUGCGAAAGCGUGGGGAGCAAACAGG